GAAGUGGCAGAACCAUUGAGCUAAAUCCCUGGCAUCCAGAUGACGUUUUGUUGGGAUAAUUUGUGCCCAUUGGAGUUCUUUACUUCAGGAUCACCUUCAGCCCUCAAAAUUUAAAAUGGUGUUCUCAGGUUGCACAGGACAGUAUUUUGUUGAUCUCAAAAGGUAAAUGUCUGCCCCUGAAAUUCAUCGGUUGACUUCCUGGAAUCGGGGUCCUUGAUGCUGGACUGUGAGACUGAUGUGAUCUUCAUAUAGCAGACUUCCAUUCCAAGCCCCCGCACCCGCCCUCCCCACCC